AUUGAACGCUGGCGGCAUGCCUUACACAUGCAAGUCGAACGGCAGCACGGGUGCUUGCACCUGGUGGCGAGUGGCGAACGGGUGAGUAAUACAUCGGAACAUGUCCUGUAGUGGGGGAUAGCCCGGCGAAAGCCGGAUUAAUACCGCAUACGAUCCACGGAUGAAAGCGGGGGACCUUCGGGCCUCGCGCUAUAGGGUUGGCCGAUGGCUGAUUAGCUAGUUGGUGGGGUAAAGGCCUACCAAGGCGACGAUCAGUAGCUGGUCUGAGAGGACGACCAGCCACACUGGGACUGAGUCACGGCCCAGACUCCUACGGGAGGCAGCAGUGGGGAAUUUUGGACAAUGGGCGAAAGCCUGAUCCAGCAAUGCCGCGUGUGUGAAGAAGGCCUUCGGGUUGUAAAGCACUUUUGUCCGGAAAGAAAUCCUUGGCUCUAAUACAGUCGGGGGAUGACGGUACCGGAAGAAUAAGCACCGGCUAACUACGUG
rnacentral:rRNA from 1 species